GGCGGGGCCAGCCAGGACUGCUACAAGUACCAGGUGGGGGCGGGGCCUGGGCCAGGGGCGGGGCCAGCCAGGGCUGUUACAAGUACCAGGUGGGGGCGGGGCCUGGGCCAGGGGCGGGGCCAGCCAGGGCUGUUACAAGUACCAGGUGGGGGCGGGGCCUGGGCCAGGGGCGGGGCCAGCCAGGGCUGUUACAAGUACCAGGUGGGGGCGGGGCCUGGGCCAGGGGCGGGGCCAGCCAGGGCUGUUACAAGUACCAGGUGGGGGCGGGGCCUGGGCCAGGGGCGG